UACAGAGGUCUCAAGCGUUGUUCGGAUUCAUUGGGCGUAAAGGGUGUGUAGGUGGCGCUGUAAGUCGGGUGUGAAAUUUCGAGGCUUAACUUCGAAACUGCAUUCGAUACUGCCGUGCUUGAGGACUGGAGAGGAGACUGGAAUUUACGGUGUAGCGGUGAAAUGCGUAGAUAUCGUAAGGAAGACCAGUGGCGAAGGCGGGUCUCUGGACAGUUCCUGACGCUGAGGCACGAAGGCCAGGGGAGCAAACGGG
rnacentral:rRNA from 1 species